UGUUUGUGACUCAUGGAAAACACAGUCAUGUGGACUUACUGCAGAACUCCCGGCUUGUGGGGUCCCCCACAUUGUGGAUGAGGCACGAGAAAUUCACAUGGACUACUGAGUUCUGUGGAGGAAAAGGGACAGCAUGGCUUUUCUCUCAAAAGGAGCAAAAGCCCCAGCCCUUGCCCUGACCAGCCUUUAUUUCUUUUCUGGGCCCAUUACAUGAUGGUCCUCACUUACUCU